rnacentral:rRNA from 1 species
AUGUGCUUCAUCAAGAGAUUUUUGGAUGAUCUUGAGAUUGUUGUUGCCAGGAAUUCAAAACAACCAGUUGGACGGGUUGGACAGCCCCGGGCAAGAGUGUGGGUACCACCUACCGGGGAGGCGCCAAAACUAAAUUGCGACGGAGCUCUUUCCACUUUAGGAGAUAGAGGAGCUGCUGCAGUGGUAUGUAGGGACAAGGUCGGAGUCUAUCUUGGAGCUUCAGCAGUUGUUUAUGAGGGCCUGAUCGACCCAGCAAGCCUGAAGGCACUAGCUUGCAGCGAGAGCCUAGCCCUUGCUCGGGACUUAAAUCUGCAGAACUUGGAGGUAGCCUCAGAUUGCCAGGAGGUAAUUUCGCAUAUCAGGAAUGGAGGUGCACCGGUCUACGCGCAUGUCCUUAAGGAAAUUCAGUUUAGUAGAAACUUUUUUCAUUAUGUUUCUUUCCGUUUCGAAUUUAGAGAGAACAAUUUUAAGGCCCACUCGCUAGCUAAAGGAGCUGCGUCUCUUGCGGUGGGUCGCCAUGUGUGGCUAGGGGCCCUGCCCGACAUUGCUUGUAUCCCUCAUUUUCUGAACCAUGAAUAA